GUCGAGUCGGGAGAAGAGCCUGAGAACGGCUACUACAUCUACGGAAGGCAGCAGGCGCGUAAAUUACCCAAUCCUGACUCAGGGAGGUGGUGACAAGAUAUAACGACCCGAUUAAUGUCGUGAUUGUAGUGAGGAUAUUCCAAACAGAAUCACAAGAACGAUUAGAGGGCAAGUCUGGUGCCAGCAGCCGCGGUAAUUCCAGCUCUAAUAGCGUAUAUUAAAGUUGCUGCAGUUAAAAAGCUCGUAGUUGGAUUUCAAGGAUUACCCAUUCCUAUGGUAUUUGUACCCUACUAGCCAGUAUUGGCUGUUACUGUGAGAAAAUUAGAGUGUUUAAAGCAGCUCAUGCAAGAAUACAUUAGCAUGGAAUAACGAAUGAGUCAUGAAUCUUGGUAACUCUGACUCGACAAAAGAGACAGAGGGGGCAUUAGUAUUUAAUUGUCAGAGGUGAAUUCUUGGACUCGUCUAUUUCUAUCUGUAUGCGAAAGCAUUUGCCAGGAUGUUUCAUCACUCACCACCGAACCAUACGGGAUCAAGACAUCAGAUACUGUCGUAGUCCUAUCUAUAACUAUGCGACUAGGAUUGAUGCAUUUACCAUUUCAGUACUAUGAGAAUCAAGUCUUUGGGUCUUGGGGGAGUAUGUCCGCAGACUGAACUUAAGAAUGACGAGGACCACAGGAUGGAGCUGCGCUUAUUGACUCACACGGGACUACAGUCGACAUAGAAGAUGCGAUGAGCUUUCUGAUCUGGGGGGGGCAGGCGUCUAUGGGAGAUGCGUAUCGAACACAGACCUACCGCAUGCGCUC
rnacentral:rRNA from 1 species